AGUGAACGCUGGCGGUAGGCCUAACACAUGCAAGUCGAACGGCAGCACAGUAAGAGCUUGCUCUUACGGGUGGCGAGUGGCGGACGGGUGAGGAAUACAUCGGAAUCUACUUUUUCGUGGGGGAUAACGUAGGGAAACUUACGCUAAUACCGCAUACGACCUACGGGUGAAAGCAGGGGAUCUUCGGACCUUGCGCGAUUGAAUGAGCCGAUGUCGGAUUAGCUAGUGGCGGGGUAAAGGCCCACCAAGGCGACGAUCCGUAGCUGGUCUGAGAGGAUGAUCAGCCACACUGGAACUGAGACACGGUCCAGACUCCUACGGGAGGCAGCAGUGGGGAAUAUUGGACAAUGGGCGCAAGCCUGAUCCAGCCAUACCGCGUGGGUGAAGAAGGCCUUCGGGUUGUAAAGCCCUUUUGUUGGGAAAGAAAAGCAGCAGGUUAAUACCCCGCUGUUCUGACGGUACCCAAAGAAUAAGCACCGGCUAACUUCGUG
rnacentral:rRNA from 1 species